rnacentral:rRNA from 1 species
AGAGUUUGAUCCUGGCUCAGAUUGAACGCUGGCGGAAUGCUUUACACAUGCAAGUCGAGCGGCAGCGCGGGGGCAACCCUGGCGGCGAGCGGCGAACGGGUGAGUAAUGUAUCGGAACGUACCCAGUCGUGGGGGAUAACUAUCCGAAAGGAUAGCUAAUACCGCAUACGUCCUGAGGGAGAAAGCGGGGGAUCGCAAGACCUCGCGCGAUUGGAGCGGCCGAUAUCGGAUUAGCUAGUUGGUGAGGUAAAGGCUCACCAAGGCGACGAUCCGUAGCUGGUCUGAGAGGACGACCAGCCACACUGGAACUGAGACACGGUCCAGACUCCUACGGGAGGCAGCAGUGGGGAAUUUUGGACAAUGGGGGCAACCCUGAUCCAGCCAUUCCGCGUGAGUGAAGAAGGCCUUCGGG